rnacentral:rRNA from 1 species
UACGGAGGGUGCAAGCGUUGUCCGGAUUUAUUGGGUUUAAAGGGUGCGUAGGUGGUUGGAGAAGUUGGGCGUGAAAUCCCUGGGCUUAACCUAGGAAUGGCGUUCAAGACUGGCUAGCUAGAGUAUGGUAGAGGUAAGCGGAAUUUCCGGUGUAGCGGUGAAAUGCGUAGAUAUCUGGAGGAACACCGGUGGCGAAGGCGGCAUCCUGGACCGGCAUUGACGCUGAGUGAGCGAAAGCCAGGGGAGCAAACGGG